GACGCACCUCUGGUGUACCAGUUGUUCCGCCAGGAGCAUAGCUGGGUAGCUACGUGCGGACGGGAUAAGCGCUGAAAGCAUCUAAGCGUGAAGCCCCCCUCAAGAUGAGAUUUCCCAAUUAGUAAGACCCCUUGAAGACGACGAGGUAGAUAGGUUGGAGGUGGAAGUGCAGCAAUGCAUGGAGCUGACCAAUACUAAUCGGUCGAGGGCUUAUCCUA
rnacentral:rRNA from 1 species